CGUGUAGACAAAGGGGACUCCACAACACAAAGCUAGAUGUGCCCUCUCAAACUUUUUUCCACGACGCACGGCGACGCGCACAAAGACACACCGCCCUCAGUCUGUCUUUAGGUGGGACUUAAACUCCAGAUUAUCCAACAACCCGUUCUUUUUUUUUUUUUUUUUUUGCCUGUGAGAGGUUAAAGGAAGGAAAAUAGCGUGGAAAUCACAUGGCAGAUGUACAGAGUCACCUAUCAAGCUGCUUUUAAGAUGAAGAGGGGGGAUUAAGAGACAGUGCUCCGUUUUCUUUUGGAGAAGGUGAAGACUCAUCUCCUAAGGAUUUAAACUUCAGCAGCAGAAGUGCCAGGCGGGAUGCGUUUUUUAGGCACACUUGGAAAUCUUAAACUCAUGGAACUACUUUGAGGAUUAUAAAAGUGUAGCAUGUCUUUCCACAAGGCAUUUCUCAGCCCAAAGUCACCGGGAUAGCAGGAUAUCACUUUUUUUUUUUCCCCCUUCCAGAUGGGGUGACAGGACAAGAUUUACUAUGACUCACCAAAUGAGAGCCAUUAAAUGAACAAAUGAGCUCAGCAAAACAAAAUAGAAAACAGAAGAGCUCUCUGACAGUGCGGGAGUGUGGGAGUGGUGAGGUCUGGGAGAUCAUGACCUUAAUUCUCUCCAAGACAGACGGUUUAAUUAACACUGGAGGAAUCCUCACUGGCUCACGACCACUACAAUGAUAAUGUGGAGGGAAAUUAGAUUGCUCAGGUCCUGUCAGCCACGUGGCAGACUGUGAAGGUAACAGACGAUGCACAUGAAUGAUGAAUGAUGACUGGAGGUCGGACUGAUGCCAACUGAAUACAUAUAACAGUGGAUACAGCGAUUCUAGCCCUUCCCACAAGAAAACGACGCAGUUACUGUAUCAUAUCAUGGACUGGUUUGGCCCUGACAGAAAGCAACAACCAUCUGAAGAGGAGAUCAACUCUUACAUCAGUUCACAGUAUUUUACCAGGAAUCUACAUAAUCAUCAAGCUGUAGUCUACAUACGAGGGCUGUUCAAUAAGUUCAUGGCCUCACCCAGAAAUACUGGUUGUUAUAAUACAGGAUGUUACAUUCUUUCGUGAUGGGAUAGUGAUGCUUGAACAUCGAUGGACCAAGUGCAUUGCUGUAAAUGGAGAUUAUGUUGAAAAAUAAAAUAUAAAUUAUCAGUCUGUGUUGUUCUGUUCUGGGUGAGGCCAUGAACUUAUUGAAUGGCCCUCGUACAUAGUAUUUGGUGUAUUUUAUUUAAUUUCUAGUUAAAUGAAUGCAC